rnacentral:lncRNA from 1 species
UGGAAUGAUUAUCACAUAAUUGGAGCCAAGGUUUGGACGAAUUUGAAUACUUGAAGAUGAUGAUUCCUACUUGAACAAGGUUCCUAGUUGAAGUAGGAAAGUGCUUACAUGAAGGAGGAUUCCUAAUCGACGAAGGAUUCCUAAUCGACGAAGGAUUCCUAAUCAACGAAGGAUUCCUAAUUGAAGAUGAAUUCCUAAUCACAUGAGGAUUCCUAGAAGAACAAGGAUUCCUACUCCAACAAGGAUUCCUACUUGAAGUAGGAAAGUUAAGCCAAGGUUUCCUACUUUGGUUUGAUUUUUCCGAAUUGUCCCUAAACGUUUCAGCAAUUAUGAAGACUUUCUAGGCAUUCUAGGACACAAAACAAAAGCCUAGAACCCUUUUGAACCCUUGCCGCACCCCCCUUUGCAUUUCCUCUUCCCUAUUUCCUGUUUUUAUGCUUUAAAACACCUUCCUUUUGUGUUUUAAACCCUAGCCGAAUUUCCCUUGCCCUUUCCCUUAAUUUUCUGAUUUGUUUCCUUAAUUCUAGAAGCUUUAAACUUAAUUCCUGAUUACCUAAUUAGCCUAGGGUUUUUAAUUUCCUAAUCCCUUUAAAUAAACAUGUUUGUGCAGCCACAAACAUAGCCAUUCAUCCAGAAAAUAAUCCUUCACGCCAGAAACCAUUCUCCAUCUUCAACAGCACCUAUCCUUCACCAUUCACCAUAUUUUCUGACCAAAAACCACCCUAGCCGUCCCAUACACCUAUCCCAGCCAUAAACCCAUCGUUCUACACCAUUCAUAACCCCCCAAAACUCACCCAUUCGUGUGCAGCAGCAAGGAGAAAGAAGGAAGGACUCUUGGAUGCUUAAGCUUCAUCGUUGGUGCAUUCUAGGUGUAAUUCGUUUUAUGAUUUCAAUGUUUAAUUUCUUUUCCUUUCGUUUUGCUACGAACAUGAGUGGCUAAACCCCUAUUG